rnacentral:misc_RNA from 1 species
AACGAGGCCGACCUGCGGCUGAGUUACCUGCGGAAGGAUCAUUAUUGAAUAAACUUGGUUGGGCUGUUGCUGGCUCCUUGGAGCAUGUGCACGCCUAGCACCAAUUUUUACCACCUGUGCACCUUUGUGGACCUGGAUACCUCUCGAGGAAACUCGGUUGGAGGACUGCUGUGCGAAAGCCAGCUUUCCUUACAUUUCCGGUUCAUGUUUUCACAUACCCCAUACGAAUGUAACAGAAUG